rnacentral:lncRNA from 1 species
UUAAUUUCAGGAGCUCCUGAGUUGAUACUGAACUCAAGACAUGUCUUCUGGAUUGCCUGCCUGAGAACUGGAAGGAUAAUUUAAGAAGUAACAGGUAAUCAAGCCCAUAGAUAAGAUUAGGGGCAGAUUACAAAGCAGAAUGAAAAAUAAAGACAUCCCUAGAGGUUGAGCUUCCUAGACGCUAUGGGGCUGGACAGCUUUUAGGGAAUUAGAAGUAAUGGGUGGGACUGCAAUGGAUCUGGGUUAAUAGAGGCAUGAAAAAGAAAGAUGGCUUCGCUAAUUGUUGAGGUGAAGUUUCUCCUGUAAUUUCAUGAACCUGGAUAGUUCCCAGGUGGCUUUCAAGUGAAAAUUAAAAGUACUAAAAGAGGCUUAUGGGGAGAAAGUUGAAAGGUGGAAAAGUUAAAAAGGUUUGUUUCCUUGUUUUAGUCAGAUGAAGGCUCUCAGGAACUGAUCAAAGUCAUACUCAGAAUUUAUCUCGCCUUUGUUUAUACUAAAUAAUGAGGUAGCUUGAGAAGGGUCAGAAAGUUCCAGAUUCAAAUAGGGCAACUUGCCUACCUAGCAAAACUAACAACUGUCUUGUUAACUGUUAGUUUUUGACAUCCUACUGCUCUCCUGCCCAAAAUGGGUGUAGGAUUCCAGAAUGUUCUCUGGAAAAAUAGGAAAGCGAGGAAGGUUAACAUUCAGGAUAUGCAAAAGCCAGAGGAUAUCUAAUGUUGUAGACCAACCUUCCCUAAAAUGCUUUUAACUCCAACUCACAUCAAGCCCAGACAGCAUGGCCACAUCUGGAGGGCAGAAGGUUCUGGAAAGCUAUUAUUAUUAUUAUUAUUAUUAUUAUUAUUAUUAUUAUUAAUACCCCGCCCAUUUGGCUGGCUUUCCCCGGCCACUCUGGGCAGCUCCCAACAGAAUAUUAAAAACACAAUAAAAUAUCAAACAUUAAAAACUUUCCUAAACAGGGCUGCCUUCAGAUGUCUUCUAAAAGUCAGGUAGUUGUUUAUUUCCUUGACAUCUGAUGGGAGGGCAUUCCACAGGGCAGGCCCCACAACAGUGGUACCUUGAUUCUCAAACGCCUUGGUUCUCAUAUGCCUUGGUUCUUAAACACCGAAAACCUGGAAGUAAGUGUUCUGGUUUUCAAACAUUUUUCAGAAGCCGAAAGUCCUAUGUGGCUGUUGGCUGUUGUUUCCAGGGCACCUGCACCAAUCAGAAGCUAUGCCUUGGUUUUUUAAUAUUUUGGAAGUCAAACAGACUUCUGGAAUGGAUUAAGUUUGACACUUUUGUUUUUGCUAUUUAUUUUGCAUUUUUGUGGCUUUUUUGGUUAAUUUGUUUUUGUGACUGUGUGGAACCCAGUUUAGCUACUGAUUGACUGAUUACGUGACUGCGGAAAUGGAUAAAAGUCCCCUCUAUCCACACAAUGAAUAUCAUUGGUGCAGGUAAGAAAAAAAGUAAUUUUAAUUUUUAUCAUCUACAAUACUGCCUUAUUUAUUUUAUAGUACAGUGCAUUGAUUAUUGUUUUCAUUUUUUCGAUCAAUGGUCUCAUUAGAUAGUAAAAUUCAUAUUAAAUUGCUGUUUUAGGGGUUGUUUUUAAAAAUCUAGAAUGGAUUAAUCCAUUUUGCAUUACUUUCCAUGGGAAAGCGUGCCUUGAUUUUGGAAAGCUUUGGUUUGGAAUGGACUUCCGGAACGGAUUAGGUUUGAGAAUCAAGGUACCACUGUAUCGAGAAGGCCCUCUGCCUGGUUCUCUGUAACCUCACUUCUUGCAGUGAGGGAACAACCAGAAGGCCUUUAGAGCUCUGGGCAAUGUAGCUCAAGUAAUUUUGUAUUUAUGUAUUUAUAUUUAUAUUUAAUAUUGAUUGAUUGUGUUUACUGCUCUUCAUCCAUAGAUUUCAGGGUGGUCUGCAACACAAAAUUACAUCAUAAAACCCACAAAAUAUAUAUUAAAAUAAGAACAGCAAUGAACUAGUAAUUUGCAAAGAUCACGUUCCUCCCUGAAGAUUCCACCCCUUCACACCAUUUCCACCCACUGGUCAUGGAAGACCCUUCUUCAAAAUUGCUUUCACAAUCUGUCUGGAUAUAUUCUGUAUUCAAGUAAUAUAUUCUGUGCCAGGGAAUCUUGCUCCAUCUUCUAUGAAAUACGCAGAUCAAAGAAAAGUCCUCCUCUGUCACAGACACUUCCCCAGAGCAAUUAUUCCAGGUUCUGCUCACUUCUGUCUAGCAACUCUGUUUGCUGCAGCAUCUUUCUCUUGUUGAUGGAGUGUGCGAGGCACACGGGCCUGCCACACUGCCCUUGUACCCUCUCUCACAUGUGCACAUUUCUCUGCCAGUUUGUCAAGUUAAUGGGGAAUGAUAUUAAUAAGCUUCCUGUGACAGUGCUUGGGCAUACUGUCAUGUUUACAAGGCAAUUUUGAAAGCAGUUCAUGCAAAUUACAUCCCAGUCUGUCAUCUGCGGCGGUAAAGUCACGGUGGGAAAGGAAGGCUACGGUAAUGUCCGUGACAGGUGGAAAGAGAAAGCUGGGGGAGCUCUAGAUGGAGAAAAUAGAGGGGAAUGAUUACAGGUGGAAGGGUUGAAGAAAAAACCUGAUCACUGUGAAUUUUAAUGCUUUUCAUUGAGAGAGAGAGAGAGUUGGCAAACGAG